GAUGAACGCUGGCGGCGUGCCUAAUACAUGCAAGUCGAGCGAACAGAUGAGGAGCUUGCUCCUCUGACGUUAGCGGCGGACGGGUGAGUAACACGUGGAUAACCUACCUAUAAGACUGGGAUAACUUCGGGAAACCGGAGCUAAUACCGGAUAAUAUAUUGAACCGCAUGGUUCAAUAGUGAAAGACGGUUUUGCUGUCACUUAUAGAUGGAUCCGCGCCGCAUUAGCUAGUUGGUAAGGUAACGGCUUACCAAGGCAACGAUGCGUAGCCGACCUGAGAGGGGACUCGGCCACACUGGAACUGAGACCGGUCCCAGCCCCCAACGGAGGGCAGAGGGGGGAAACUUCCCGAAUGGGCCGAAACCCUAAGGGAGAACCCCCGGGGGGUUAAUGAGGGUCUUCGAUCCGAAAACCUCUUUAUUAGGGAAGAACAAAUGUGUAAGUAACUAUGCACGUCUUGACGGUACCUAAUCAGAAAGCCACGGCUAACUACGUG
rnacentral:rRNA from 1 species